GCGCAGGCAGGUCUAACGAUAGGACAUGGGACUUUGAAUCCCAGUAUGAAGGUUCGAUUCCUUCCCUCGCA
rnacentral:tRNA from 1 species